GGACGCUGUUUAAAGUAUUGCCAAUGGAAGCUACACUCUGAAUGGAAACAUAUAGGAAGGUGUAAAAAAGCUUUAAGAGACAACUGACAUGCAAUAAACUGUACAUAUUCAAAAAUGUAUAAUUUGAAUGUUUUGACACAUAAACAAUUGUGAAACCAGUACUACAAUCAAGAUAAUAAACACUCAUCACCUCUGAAAGUUUCCUCAUGACUCUCUGUAAUCACUCCCUUGCCGAUCGUUCCCAGGCAACCACUGAUCCACUUUCUGUCACAAUAAAUCAGUCUUCAUUUUCUAGAUUUUAUAUAAGUAGAACCAGUGAGCAAGUAGUGCUUUUUAAAGUGUGGCUGCUUCUACUCAGCAGAAUUGGGAUUCAUCCAUGUUGAGGCUACUUGGCAGGCUGCCGAGCAGCAUUCCAUUGUGUGGCUCUAUCACAGUUUAUCUCUCCCCCUGCUCAUGGACAUUUAGGCUGUGUUCAAUAUUUGACUAUUACAAAUGAAGCUGCUAUAAACAUUCGUGUUCAGGUCUUCAUGUGGACUUAUAGACAUUCCCCUUUAUCAUAUGCUUUCUAAUCGCCAUAAUACCUAGCAGGUGAAUGGCUGAUCAUAUGGCAGGUCUAUGCUUCACUUGUUAAAAAACUGCCCAACAAUGUUCUAAAAUGGUUAUGCCAUUUUACAUUCCCACCAGCAGGGAAUGAGAGUUCCUGUUACUCCAUAUCCUCACCAAUCCUGUACCAAUAUUGGUACAGUCAUUCUUUUCAACUUCAGCCAUUCUAAUGGAAGUGUAUAUUGUGAUUUUAAUUUACAUUGCCCUAAUGAAACACUGCCCUAAUGAAAAUCGGUGUUUCUGAUUAUUUCAAAUAUCUUCAAACUAUGAUUACAUGUAGUGUAUACUGAGAUAAUUAACAGGACUCUUUCUCUAUCAAUCAAACAAGUAAUUUUCUUAAUUUAAAUGAUUUUUCCUAGAGGAAAACCAAAUCUUCCCUAAAGAAAAAAUAUUAGUUUAUAAAUCUGGAACCCAGGGAUAAGGUUCUCUCACAAACUGCCUCUGUCAAUCCCUGCUGUGGGAAGGCAGAUGGCCGAGCUAACACAGUAGACUGCCACUUGUUAGGAGCAAAGGACACUUCGAGCAAAAGUGGGAGGGAACCAUAUCUGGCUUUGGGAAACUCAAUACUGCAGAGAUGAAAAAAAAGUAGAAUCCUGUCAGCAACCACUGAAUAGGGAUAUGAGUAGUGGCUUACUUUGCUUUCAUUAGCCCUAAAAAGCCCAAGUGGACAGGGAACUUGGAGAUAUAAUUCAGAAGCCAUGUUUUAAAAAAAGCCUGUCCUAAGGGAACAUCUAAAAGGGUGUUACUAUUCAGUGAGUUUUGGCCUUUUCAAGACAUGCUGACAGUUUUACAGUGCCACAUUAGUAUUUUUAACCAAGGUCAUUUUUAUUACACUGAUAUCCAAGAAUCCAAGAGAACACGAGAUGACACUAAUAAAAAUUACAUGAGAUACAAUAAAGUUAGGUAUUUGGCAUGACCUACCACUUCAAAACUGAGCCACUUGAAAGAAACACAGUGCCUGGCAUGAUAAACACACAGAUUUGCAAAGAGACAACACACUGGGUAAAAGUAUCUAAGCUGGUUUGCUAUCUAUGUAAGCUCUGUUGCUAUCUAUGUAAGCUCUGAAUGCCUGUUGCAAAAGCUACAGGCAUUCAAAGACACCUACUGUUUGUGAAUCCAAUCCUCACUGGCUGGAUGUAUGAACCCAUUGGGAUGCCAGAAGAUAGUAAGCUCUUGUUUAAGGAUUUUUUUUUUCUUUUCUUUUUUCCCCUAAGGAAGCAACUGACAGAGCCAUGUGAACUCUGGAGCAAAACUCUGAAACUAGUAUUCCCAUCAACAGCAAAGUGCCUGGUACAUACUGGAGGAAGUUCCACAAAUGUUUAUUGAAUGAAUAAAUUCAAGAAUAAACCAGUUUCCUUUUCUGGUACCAAAACAGAGAUAUAGACCAAUGGAACAGAACAGA
rnacentral:lncRNA from 10 species